GGGUAUAGCUCAGUGGUACAGCUGGUGCCUGGCAAGCAGAAGGGACUGGGUUCAAUCCCCAGUACCUCCA
rnacentral:tRNA from 1 species